rnacentral:misc_RNA from 1 species
CUUUGUUUUCAUUUAUUUACUGAAAAGUUUUGUUCUGUCCCAUGGUAUUGACAUUUUUUUCCUUUUCUUAUAAGGUUAUGCAUGAUAAUUUUUACCACAUGCAUCAGAUAGAGAAGGUAAUGAUCUUUUACCAUCAUAUUGCCCCCCACCCCCUACCCCCCCACUCCCACCCCGUUAGUUUUAUCACCAACAUAUCUUGUGAAUUUCUUGUUACAUAGUAUACAAAUUGAGUUUUUUUGUUCUUUGUCUGCAAUGCUAGUACGAUCAUCUAGAGUUUCCUAGAGUUGAACCUUGCACAUUUAUCGAUAAGUUUUCUACUUCAUCUAAACUUAUCAAGAGAUUGUAGUACUUAUUUUUACCAUGUGAGAUGAUUCAGCACGAAUGCCCAAUUUGAUAUAGUUUGUUAACAUGGAAGAAGAAAUGUUAAGCGUAGAGCUGGAGAGCAAGAAGAAGAAGCUUGAUUCUUGGGUCAGAGAACUGAAUAAACGUGAAGCCUUAACUGAGCGAGAAAAGAAAAAGCUUGAAGAGGAGAAAAAACAGGUAUCAAAUUCCAGCAUGAGUUAAAACUAUAUAUAAAUAUUUCUCUUAUCAUGAUAAAGCCGUGGUGGAUUACAUUAUUUUGGCGCUCCAUUUUGCCUAUAUUAUGUGGAUACUGGGUAGGAUGUAACUAUCAAGCUUCUGGACCCCUAACUCUUUCGAACUAUAAAGUGUUGAGCUUUAUUUUGUUGAUUCAAAAUGAUGUGAGAAAUUUAGCACUUCAAAUGGC